CAGCCGCCCGGUAAAACGUAGGGUCCGAGCGUUGUCCGGAAUUACUGGGCGUAAAGAGCUCGUAGGUGGUUUGUCGCGUUGUUCGUGAAAACUCACAGCUUAACUGUGGGCGUGCGGGCGAUACGGGCAGACUAGAGUACUGCAGGGGAGACUGGAAUUCCUGGUGUAGCGGUGGAAUGCGCAGAUAUCAGGAGGAACACCGGUGGCGAAGGCGGGUCUCUGGGCAGUAACUGACGCUGAGGAGCGAAAGCGUGGGGAGCGAACAGGAUUAGAUACCCCCGUAGUCCCUGUCUCUUAUACC
rnacentral:rRNA from 1 species